UUUGCUCUACCAGUCUCUGUGCUGGUGGGAGAGGAGGAGACGACUAAGUGUGAGCGAUGUUGUUUCCCCCUCCCUCUCUCUCUCUCUCUCUCUCUCGCUCCUUCUCCUUCACUAUCACGGCCAUCAGGACCCGUCCUCCCUCCUUCCCCCUCUCUCUCCCUCUCUCUCUCUCUCUCGUUCUGCCUGGUUAUGCAAUGCACGGUGCUCCCGCGGUGACUGACUGGUGCUGGAGACCUACAGUGGCGCCGCUGUCACUGGUGGCGGCUGCAGAUCGGUAGUGUCAGGGUGACGGCGGCGCUCCCCCGCAGACGUCCGCUCCGUGGGAUUUUCACGGCUCGUCCUGCCCCUCCGGAUUAUCCGCCGCCGCGCUCCGCCGGUUCGGGGACCAGGCAGCGCUCGCCUCGCCGGGUAGAGAGCGGGCUGUCGCCAGUCGGCUGCUGCACAGCGUUGAUGUGGAAGCUCCACUGGUGGGGAGGGCUUUUCUAUUUAUUUUUUUGGCGAGGCACUAAUUGCAUUGUUUUUUUCCAAGAGGAGAGCGGUGGGGGCGUAGAUUCACGGGGGCGGAGGAGUUGCGUGGAGGAGUUGAGGCGAAGCGGGGAACUCGCGAGCGGGGAUGGGAGGAACGGUGAGGAGGCGAGAGGGAGCAAAUGAGGAGAGCGUUCCGUCUCUCCCCCUCAACAGAGACCGCUGGCACUUUAGCAGCUGGGAU